AGUGAACGCUGGCGGUAGGCCUAACACAUGCAAGUCGAACGGCAGCACAGUAAGAGCUUGCUCUUACGGGUGGCGAGUGGCGGACGGGUGAGGAAUACAUCGGACUCUACUUUUUCGUGGGGGAUAACGUAGGGAAACUUACGCUCAUACCGCAUACGACCUACGGGUGAAAGCAGGGGAUCUUCGGACCUUGCGCGAUUGAAUGCGCCGAUGUCGGAUUAGCUAGUUGGCGGGGUAAAGGCCCACCAAGGCGACGAUCCGUAGCUGGUCUGAGAGGAUGGUCGGCCACACUGGAACGGGGACACGGUCCAGGCGACUACGGGAGGCAGCAGUGGGGAAUAUUGGACAGUGGGCGCAAGCCUGAUCCAACCAGACCACGUGUGUGAAGGAGGCGUUCGGGUUGUAAAGCCCUUUUGUUGGGAAAGAAAAGCAGCAGGUUAAUACCCCGCUGUUCUGACGGUACCCAAAGAAUAAGCACCGGCUAACUUCGUG
rnacentral:rRNA from 1 species